CUAAGUUUCAAGUUGAUUGGACUUCAGCUUCAUCAAAAACUACCUUGACCAAAAACUUUAACCUGAAACUCACACUUUUAAUUUCUAUGUUCAGUGGACCAUGAAAAUGGUGUCAAAAGUCUAAUUUUGUUUUAAAAUAAGAAAAAUCAUAUCCUAAGGAACAUGUGUACUAAGUUUCAAGUUGAUUGGACUUCAGCUUCAUCAAAAACUACCUUGACCAAAAACUUCAACCUGAAGUGGGACGAACGGACGGACGGACGGACAGACGAACGGAAGGACGCACAGACCAGAAAACAUAAUGCCCCUCUACUAUUGUAGGUGGGGCAUAAAAAGGGAUACAAUGCAUUAUUAAAGCACUGAGGAUUUUAUCAACAUUUCACUAAGGUCCAGUCACUGGUUUAUGAGGAUGCUAAAUGUUGAACACUAUCUGAAGAUAUGGCAGUGUCUAUGUUGAGUUAUAGGAAACCCAAAAUAUUAUUUUCCUCUAAAAUAAAAUUCAAAUUACACAAUGUAAUAUGUAAUUUUUGCUUGAAUAUUAUCUGUGGAAUGCAAACUUUAGUUGGAUUUAGAAAAAUCCUAAAUCUUGGGAGCAUCGUUACAAAAAUUUGUCUGAUUAUAGAAUUGAUCUCUGUUGUUUGACACAUUAACCUCCAAAAGCUAGUGAACCUUGAAAUGUAGGUCAUAGGUCAUUGAAUUUUCAAUUUUUUGCAUCAGCAGAUUUUUAAAGAUACAAAUUAGCAUAAAAAUUAACAAGGUUUUACGUGUAUAUUAAUUAUCUCUAAGAACUGUAUAUGGAUCUGUAAGAAUAUAUGCAGUGAAGCACAUUAAAUAGUUCUACAAAAAAAUGUUUUAAGCAAUGAUUUAUAUGACUGCUUAUUUAUGUAUUUUGGCAAAUGUUAAAGUUGACAUUCUGGAUUUCUUAAUAACAAAUAUAGAAAGAUGGGCAUGAUAUAAACUGAAAAGCAUGAUUGUGUAGAACAUAUUUUUUGCUUACAUUAAAAAGCAAGAAAAUAUAUACAUUUAUAUUAAAGAUAACUAUAAAAAUACCUUCAUUCUUUUUCAUCAGUUUUUAUAGAUCUUAUGGUUAUUAAAAAAUCCAAUGAAAAUUCAAAUCG
rnacentral:lncRNA from 1 species